rnacentral:rRNA from 1 species
ACGGAAGGCAGCAGUGGGGAAUAUUGCACAAUGGGGGAAACCCUGAUGCAGCGACGCCGCGUGAGUGAAGAAGUAUUUCGGUAUGUAAAGCUCUAUCAGCAGGGAAGAUAAUGACGGUACCUGACUAAGAAGCCCCGGCUAACUACGUGCCAGCAGCCGCGGUAAUACGUAGGGGGCAAGCGUUAUCCGGAUUUACUGGGUGUAAAGGGUGCGUAGGUGGUAUGGCAAGUCAGAAGUGAAAACCCGGGGCUCAACCCCGUGGAUUGCUUUUGAAACUGUCAAACUAGAGUACCGGAGAGGUAAGCGGAAUUCCUAGUGUAGCGGUGAAAUGCGUAGAUAUUAGGAGGAACACCAGUGGCGAAGGCGGCUUACUGGACGGUAACUGACACUGAGGCACGAAAGCGUGGGGAGCAAACAGGAUUAGAUACCCUGGUA